rnacentral:rRNA from 1 species
UUAAUUGAAGAGUUUGAUCAUGGCUCAGAUUGAACGCUGGCGGCAGGCCUAACACAUGCAAGUCGAGCGGCAGCACAGAGGAACUUGUUCCUUGGGUGGCGAGCGGCGGACGGGUGAGUAAUGCCUGGGAAAUUGCCCGGUAGAGGGGGGAUAACCAUUGGAAACGAUGGCUAAUACCGCAUAACCUCGCAAG